UCAUUGAUGUUUUAUAAUUUGCAGGCUAUGGAGCCAACAGUGAUGCCACUCAAGCAGGGUUAGGUUCUUCACAAGGUCACACUGCCACUGAUUCAGCACCAUCGGAUUUUCCAGAAGAUGCACCUUCAAGUUCCGAAUGUGACGCACUGCCAGCUUGU